AAAUAAAGCGAAUUGCAGUAAGAGCAGACCAAUACUUGAAUAUGCUGCUGCAUGUUUUGCUUGGUAGUGAGCAGAAGUAUGUUAGGCUGUCUGACCUGACAUUUGAUGCUGUCAUGAAAGAAGUGUGCCUAAAAUUUAACAUACUAGAAGGCAGACAGCUAGAUAUGAAGGUGUUUGACCAGUCUGACACAGAAGUAGGUGCAGAGGUAUUUGAAGAAAUGGUGAAGGGGUCACCUGGAACCUUCCAAGUCAUGCUGAGCAAUGAAGAACUUGCAUCCGAUGAUACAAUGAUACAACUUCACAAUGUGUGACCCUCCUGAAGAAGCAGCCGCCACUGAAGGAAGACAAACUAAACGGCCAUGCCAUAUAAACUAUGAGGCAAAAGCUGUGGGUAGUGUACAUUGUUAAGUCUAAUCUGGAAAUGUGAUGUGAGGUGUUUUUAUGUAAUUGUUUUCCAAUCUUAAGUUUUAAAAAUUUCUGACUUCAUAUUUUGUCUAUUUAAUGUGAUUGAAAACAUCUUAGUAACAAAGCCGGUGCCUAACCAAAUCUUUUGACAGAUGCAACCAGAAGACAGAUGAUAAACAUACUUGCAGCUAAGAUGACAGAAGCACAGGGGCUGGGACAGUGACAUCUGCUACCACCAUCAGCACAAGGGCGAAAGAGACCAGGAAAGAUGUCUGCAUCUCAAGCUGUUGAUAACCUCAUCAAAUUCUUAGAAGCUGGAACCAGUGUACAGCAGCAUCGAGACAACAUCACCCGAAGCAGUCAGACCUACAUUCUUGCUCAGGCACCCACAAGAAGCAGCAUUCACCCCUUCUUUAUUGUAAUUGACAAGCAUGCACUUCCAUGUAAAGUGACAGGUUCAGUUGGAGCCCUUGAUGAACUCUUUAAGGCCCAUUAUGUCUUUGGUACAUCAUACCGUUCAUCCCUGACCAACUUUUUCACUUUUCUGCAUACAACAUUGAUAUUGGGGAAACGUCAUAGCUUUUUCGUGUGAGCAUCAUAGUACUGUAUGCUACUGGGAAUUGUAAGGGUUUGUUACG